rnacentral:rRNA from 1 species
UCCUGACUGACCGAUAGUGAACCAGUACCGUGAGGGAAAGGCGAAAAGAACCCCGGCGAGGGGAGUGAAAAAGAACCUGAAACCGUGUACGUACAAGCAGUGGGAGCACGCUUAGGCGUGUGACUGCGUACCUUUUGUAUAAUGGGUCAGCGACUUAUAUUCUGUAGCAAGGUUAACCGAAUAGGGGAGCCGAAGGGAAACCGAGUCUUAACUGGGCGUUAAGUUGCAGGGUAUAGACCCGAAACCCGGUGAUCUAGCCAUGGGCAGGUUGAAGGUUGGGUAACACUAACUGGAGGACCGAACCGACUAAUGUUGAAAAAUUAGCGGAUGACUUGUGGCUGGGGGUGAAAGGCCAAUCAAACCGGGAGAUAGCUGGUUCUCCCCGAAAGCUAUUUAGGUAGCGCCUCGUGAAUUCAUCUCCGGGGGUAGAGCACUGUUUCGGCAAGGGGGUCAUCCCGACUUACCAACCCGAUGCAAACUGCGAAUACCGGAGAAUGUUAUCACGGGAGACACACGGCGGGUGCUAACGUCCGUCGUGAAGAGGGAAACAACCCAGACCGCCAGCUAAGGUCCCAAAGUCAUGGUUAAGUGGGAAACGAUGUGGGAAGGCCCAGACAGCCAGGAUGUUGGCUUAGAAGCAGCCAUCAUUUAAAGAAAGCGUAAUAGCUCACUGGUCGAGUCGGCCUGCGCGGAAGAUGUAACGGGGCUAAACCAUGCACCGAAGCUGCGGCAGCGAUGCUUAUGCGUUGUUGGGUAGGGGAGCGUUCUGUAAGCCUGCGAAGGUGUGCUGUGAGGCAUGCUGGAGGUAUCAGAAGUGCGAAUGCUGACAUAAGUAACGAUAAAGCGGGUGAAAAGCCCGCUCGCCGGAAGACCAAGGGUUCCUGUCCAACGUUAAUCGGGGCAGGGUGAGUCGACCCCUAAGGCGAGGCCGAAAGGCGUAGUCGAUGGGAAACAGGUUAAUAUUCCUGUACUUGGUGUUACUGCGAAGGGGGGACGGAGAAGGCUAUGUUGGCCGGGCGACGGUUGUCCCGGUUUAAGCGUGUAGGCUGGUUUUCCAGGCAAAUCCGGAAAAUCAAGGCUGAGGCGUGAUGACGAGGCACUACGGUGCUGAAGCAACAAAUGCCCUGCUUCCAGGAAAAGCCUCUAAGCAUCAGGUAACAUCAAAUCGUACCCCAAACCGACACAGGUGGUCAGGUAGAGAAUACCAAGGCGCUUGAGAGAACUCGGGUGAAGGAACUAGGCAAAAUGGUGCCGUAACUUCGGGAGAAGGCACGCUGAUAUGUAGGUGAAGUCCCUUGCGGAUGGAGCUGAAAUCAGUCGAAGAUACCAGCUGGCUGCAACUGUUUAUUAAAAACACAGCACUGUGCAAACACGAAAGUGGACGUAUACGGUGUGACGCCUGCCCGGUGCCGGAAGGUUAAUUGAUGGGGUCAGCGCAAGCGAAGCUCUUGAUCGAAGCCCCGGUAAACGGCGGCCGUAACUAUAACGGUCCUAAGGUAGCGAAAUUCCUUGUCGGGUAAGUUCCGACCUGCACGAAUGGCGUAAUGAUGGCCAGGCUGUCUCCACCCGAGACUCAGUGAAAUUGAACUCGCUGUGAAGAUGCAGUGUACCCGCGGCAAGACGGAAAGACCCCGUGAACCUUUACUAUAGCUUGACACUGAACAUUGAGCCUUGAUGUGUAGGAUAGGUGGGAGGCUUUGAAGUGUGGACGCCAGUCUGCAUGGAGCCGGCCUUGAAAUACCACCCUUUAAUGUUUGAUGUUCUAACGUGGACCCGUGAUCCGGGUUGCGGACAGUGUCUGGUGGGUAGUUUGACUGGGGCGGUCUCCUCCUAAAGAGUAACGGAGGAGCACGAAGGUUGGCUAAUCCUGGUCGGACAUCAGGAGGUUAGUGCAAUGGCAUAAGCCAGCUUGACUGCGAGCGUGACGGCGCGAGCAGGUGCGAAAGCAGGUCAUAGUGAUCCGGUGGUUCUGAAUGGAAGGGCCAUCGCUCAACGGAUAAAAGGUACUCCGGGGAUAACAGGCUGAUACCGCCCAAGAGUUCAUAUCGACGGCGGUGUUUGGCACCUCGAUGUCGGCUCAUCACAUCCUGGGGCUGAAGUAGGUCCCAAGGGUAUGGCUGUUCGCCAUUUAAAGUGGUACGCGAGCUGGGUUUAGAACGUCGUGAGACAGUUCGGUCCCUAUCUGCCGUGGGCGAUGGAGAACUGAGGGGGGCUGCUCCUAGUACG